AAUGAGAAAAACUUUCCAAGUGUUCUCACUUGCUUCUUGGCUAACUUGGCUCCUCGAGGAGUGUGGAAACUGUUGAUAAGAUGUGCUGUGGCAGUACCGCUUGGGUAGGUCAACUUGAAAUCUAUGAUCAUUAUCUUCCGUAGAGGAACAACCGAGAAGAGGCCGAGAAAGCUGACGAUGAAAAGAAAACCAAUUAUCCAUCCUAAUGAAGGGUUCUUGAAGUCAUUGAUAUCGGCGGAUGAUAGCUUACUAAUGCGCUGACUCAGUCCAAAUAGAUAGCUCCCGAAACCUCCGCUGAAGGCGAUGCCGGAGGAAGCGACAACACAAGUCUGAAUCACGGUGUUCUCCUGGCGAGUGAAAGGCUGUUUCAGUAAACCAGAUUUCUCCAGAAGUUUGGUCCAUGUCUUCACGAAGAAGAAGCCGAGAAGUCCGGCGGAGACAUUGAGCGAAGGAAUAAUACCGGUAGUCAAGUUGAGCUUCAUCACGAUGAAAGUGAACAACACACUCAGUCCAAAGCUCACCACAAACGCUCUCGCCGUCAGCUGCUUCUGCCACGACGGCACCUCUUGCGUUUCGAAAAUCCUCUCCACCGACAUCGAUUCCUCCGCCAUUACUAAUCCUUGAUGAUCUCCUCUCGCUCUCUUGCUGAUCUUCUGGUUUGGAUCCAACUCGUCGCACUUCUCCUCCUCCUCCAUAUCCCUCUGAUCUCUUCCGUUUCG
rnacentral:misc_RNA from 1 species